rnacentral:rRNA from 1 species
UAAGCGACUAAGCGUACACGGUGGAUGCCCUGGCAGUCAGAGGCGAUGAAGGACGUGCUAAUCUGCGAUAAGCGUCGGUAAGGUGAUAUGAACCGUUAUAACCGGCGAUUUCCGAAUGGGGAAACCCAGUGUGAUUCGUCACACUAUCAUUAACUGAAUCCAUAGGUUAAUGAGGCGAACCGGGGGAACUGAAACAUCUAAGUACCCCGAGGAAAAGAAAUCAACCGAGAUUCCCCCAGUAGCGGCGAGCGAACGGGGAGGAGCCCAGAGCCUGAAUCAGUGUGUGUGUUAGUGGAAGCGUCUGGAAAGGCGCGCGAUACAGGGUGACAGCCCCGUACACAAAAAUGCACAUGCUGUGAGCUCGAUGAGUAGGGCGGGACACGUGGUAUCCUGUCUGAAUAUGGGGGGACCAUCCUCCAAGGCUAAAUACUCCUGACUGACCGAUAGUGAACCAGUACCGUGAGGGAAAGGCGAAAAGAACCCCGGCGAGGGGAGUGAAAAAGAACCUGAAACCGUGUACGUACAAGCAGUGGGAGCACAGAGCAAUCUGUGUGACUGCGUACCUUUUGUAUAAUGGGUCAGCGACUUAUAUUCUGUAGCAAGGUUAACCGAAUAGGGGAGCCGAAGGGAAACCGAGUCUUAACCGGGCGUUAAGUUGCAGGGUAUAGACCCGAAACCCGGUGAUCUAGCCAUGGGCAGGUUGAAGGUUGGGUAACACUAACUGGAGGACCGAACCGACUAAUGUUGAAAAAUUAGCGGAUGACUUGUGGCUGGGGGUGAAAGGCCAAUCAAACCGGGAGAUAGCUGGUUCUCCCCGAAAGCUAUUUAGGUAGCGCCUCGUGAAUUCAUCUCCGGGGGUAGAGCACUGUUUCGGCAAGGGGGUCAUCCCGACUUACCAACCCGAUGCAAACUGCGAAUACCGGAGAAUGUUAUCACGGGAGACACACGGCGGGUGCUAACGUCCGUCGUGAAGAGGGAAACAACCCAGACCGCCAGCUAAGGUCCCAAAGUCAUGGUUAAGUGGGAAACGAUGUGGGAAGGCCCAGACAGCCAGGAUGUUGGCUUAGAAGCAGCCAUCAUUUAAAGAAAGCGUAAUAGCUCACUGGUCGAGUCGGCCUGCGCGGAAGAUGUAACGGGGCUAAACCAUGCACCGAAGCUGCGGCAGCGACACUGUGUGUUGUUGGGUAGGGGAGCGUUCUGUAAGCCUGUGAAGGUGUACUGUGAGGUAUGCUGGAGGUAUCAGAAGUGCGAAUGCUGACAUAAGUAACGAUAAAGCGGGUGAAAAGCCCGCUCGCCGGAAGACCAAGGGUUCCUGUCCAACGUUAAUCGGGGCAGGGUGAGUCGACCCCUAAGGCGAGGCCGAAAGGCGUAGUCGAUGGGAAACAGGUUAAUAUUCCUGUACUUGGUGUUACUGCGAAGGGGGGACGGAGAAGGCUAUGUUGGCCGGGCGACGGUUGUCCCGGUUUAAGCGUGUAGGCUGGUUUUCCAGGCAAAUCCGGAAAAUCAAGGCUGAGGCGUGAUGACGAGGCACUACGGUGCUGAAGCAACAAAUGCCCUGCUUCCAGGAAAAGCCUCUAAGCAUCAGGUAACAUCAAAUCGUACCCCAAACCGACACAGGUGGUCAGGUAGAGAAUACCAAGGCGCUUGAGAGAACUCGGGUGAAGGAACUAGGCAAAAUGGUGCCGUAACUUCGGGAGAAGGCACGCUGAUAUGUAGGUGAAGUCCCUCGCGGAUGGAGCUGAAAUCAGUCGAAGAUACCAGCUGGCUGCAACUGUUUAUUAAAAACACAGCACUGUGCAAACACGAAAGUGGACGUAUACGGUGUGACGCCUGCCCGGUGCCGGAAGGUUAAUUGAUGGGGUCAGCGCAAGCGAAGCUCUUGAUCGAAGCCCCGGUAAACGGCGGCCGUAACUAUAACGGUCCUAAGGUAGCGAAAUUCCUUGUCGGGUAAGUUCCGACCUGCACGAAUGGCGUAAUGAUGGCCAGGCUGUCUCCACCCGAGACUCAGUGAAAUUGAACUCGCUGUGAAGAUGCAGUGUACCCGCGGCAAGACGGAAAGACCCCGUGAACCUUUACUAUAGCUUGACACUGAACAUUGAGCCUUGAUGUGUAGGAUAGGUGGGAGGCUUUGAAGUGUGGACGCCAGUCUGCAUGGAGCCGACCUUGAAAUACCACCCUUUAAUGUUUGAUGUUCUAACGUGGACCCGUGAUCCGGGUUGCGGACAGUGUCUGGUGGGUAGUUUGACUGGGGCGGUCUCCUCCUAAAGAGUAACGGAGGAGCACGAAGGUUGGCUAAUCCUGGUCGGACAUCAGGAGGUUAGUGCAAUGGCAUAAGCCAGCUUGACUGCGAGCGUGACGGCGCGAGCAGGUGCGAAAGCAGGUCAUAGUGAUCCGGUGGUUCUGAAUGGAAGGGCCAUCGCUCAACGGAUAAAAGGUACUCCGGGGAUAACAGGCUGAUACCGCCCAAGAGUUCAUAUCGACGGCGGUGUUUGGCACCUCGAUGUCGGCUCAUCACAUCCUGGGGCUGAAGUAGGUCCCAAGGGUAUGGCUGUUCGCCAUUUAAAGUGGUACGCGAGCUGGGUUUAGAACGUCGUGAGACAGUUCGGUCCCUAUCUGCCGUGGGCGCUGGAGAACUGAGGGGGGCUGCUCCUAGUACGAGAGGACCGGAGUGGACGCAUCACUGGUGUUCGGGUUGUCAUGCCAAUGGCACUGCCCGGUAGCUAAAUGCGGAAGAGAUAAGUGCUGAAAGCAUCUAAGCACGAAACUUGCCCCGAGAUGAGUUCUCCCUGACCCUUUAAGGGUCCUGAAGGAACGUUGAAGACGACGACGUUGAUAGGCCGGGUGUGUAAGCGCAGCGAUGCGUUGAGCUAACCGGUACUAAUGAACCGUGAGGCUUAACCU